AACCACCAAAACUCCCUGGUCUCUCUGUGGUACAUCACAUCCUCCCCGUGCUUCCUCUUAGCCGGCUCUGCCCCAUGGUGCACACGCAGCUUGCCUUUCCGAGGACAAGCGGGAAGAGGCAUGACAAGUGGCUUUGUUUGGCUUUUGUUUGCUGCAUUUGGGAAAUGGUCUACAAGAUUGUAGAUGGUUUACAAGAUUGUAACCUGGUGGAGAAAGAAGAACAUUUUUUAUUUGUUUACACCAAGAGAGGAGCAGACGUCAUCUCUUUAGGAACCCUUGAGCCACAAUGCCACUUGGACGGGAUUUAUGGACAGCUUUUCAAAACAAGCAUUCGAAACAUGAAUGUGCAUCCAGAGGCAGCUUGGGCAAAGAAUGCCAUUUUUGUUCUUCUUUUUUGCUUACCAGUUAAACACAAACAUUUGAAUAAAUGAAUAAUUUGGCAUCCAUGUGAACGUUUCAUACGCUACACACACUUUUUGCUUUCUAAAUAGUCACACAAUUUCUUCCUAGAUUUUGAAAGAUGCCAUUUUGAGAAAGAAAAAAAUACAAUAUAAUGUUUCAAAAGUUGUGAAAGAAAUGGUUAAUGUUUCUGCCAGUUCUCAGUCAGCAACUGGGUAUUCGAAAAAAUCAUAUUCUCAGAUACGAGCAAAGAUAUACAACUACAUGUUCCUAAACUGGGC
rnacentral:lncRNA from 1 species